AUUGAACGCUGGCGGCAGGCUUAACACAUGCAAGUCGAACGAUGACUAACUAGCUUGCUAGUUAUGAUUAGUGGCGGACGGGUGAGUAACAUUUAGGAAUCUGCCUAGUAGUGGGGGAUAGCUCGGGGAAACUCGAAUUAAUACCGCAUACGACCUACGGGUGAAAGGGGGCGCAAGCUCUUGCUAUUAGAUGAGCCUAAAUCAGAUUAGCUAGUUGGUGGGGUAAAGGCCCACCAAGGCGACGAUCUGUAACUGGUCUGAGAGGAUGAUCAGUCACACCGGAACUGAGACACGGUCCGGACUCCUACGGGAGGCAGCAGUGGGGAAUAUUGGACAAUGGGGGCAACCCUGAUCCAGCCAUGCCGCGUGUGUGAAGAAGGCCUUUUGGUUGUAAAGCACUUUAAGCAGGGAGGAGAGGCUAAUGGUUAAUACCCAUUAGAUUAGACGUUACCUGCAGAAUAAGCACCGGCUAACUCUGUGCCAGCAGCCGCGGUAAUACAGAGGGUGCGAGCGUUAAUCGGAAUUACUGGGCGUAAAGCGAGUGUAGGUGGCCCAUUAAGUCACAUGUGAAAUCCCCGGGCUUAACCUGGGAACUGCAUGUGAUACUGGUGGUGCUAGAAUAUGUGAGAGGGAAGUAGAAUUCCAGGUGUAGCGGUGAAAUGCGUAGAGAUCUGGAGGAAUACCGAUGGCGAAGGCAGCUUCCUGGCAUAAUAUUGACACUGAGAUUCGAAAGCGUGGGUAGCAAACAGGAUUAGAUACCCUGGUAGUCCACGCCGUAAACGAUGUCUACUAGCCGUUGGGGUCCUUGAGACUUUAGUGGCGCAGUUAACGCGAUAAGUAGACCGCCUGGGGAGUACGGCCGCAAGGUUAAAACUCAAAUGAAUUGACGGGGGCCCGCACAAGCGGUGGAGCAUGUGGUUUAAUUCGAUGCAACGCGAAGAACCUUACCUGGUCUUGACAUAGUGAGAAUCCUGCAGAGAUGCGGGAGUGCCUUCGGGAAUUCACAUACAGGUGCUGCAUGGCUGUCGUCAGCUCGUGUCGUGAGAUGUUGGGUUAAGUCCCGCAACGAGCGCAACCCUUUUCCUUAUUUGCCAGCGGGUUAAGCCGGGAACUUUAAGGAUACUGCCAGUGACAAACUGGAGGAAGGCGGGGACGACGUCAAGUCAUCAUGGCCCUUACGACCAGGGCUACACACGUGCUACAAUGGUAGGUACAGAGGGUUGCUACACAGCGAUGUGAUGCUAAUCUCAAAAAGCCUAUCGUAGUCCGGAUUGGAGUCUGCAACUCGACUCCAUGAAGUCGGAAUCGCUAGUAAUCGCAGAUCAGAAUGCUGCGGUGAAUACGUUCCCGGGCCU
rnacentral:rRNA from 1 species